rnacentral:rRNA from 1 species
UGAGGAAUAUUGGGCAAUGGGCGGAAGCCUGACCCAGCCAUCCCGCGUGCAGGACGAAGGCCCUAUGGGUUGUAAACUGCUUUUCCUGGGGGAGAAACCCCCGCACGAGUGCGGGGCUGACGGUACCCAGGGAAUAAGCAUCGGCUAACUCCGUGCCAGCAGCCGCGGUAAUACGGAGGAUGCAAGCGUUAUCCGGAUUUAUUGGGUUUAAAGGGUGCGCAGGCGGGCCAAUAAGUCAGUGGUGAAAUCCUGCCGCUUAACGGUAGGACUGCCAUUGAUACUGUUGCGCCUUGAGUAUGGUUGAGGUAGGCGGAAUGUGCAGUGUAGCGGUGAAAUGCAUAGAUAUUGCACAGAACGCCGAUUGCGAAGGCAGCUUACUAAGCCAUCACUGACGCUGAGG